rnacentral:rRNA from 1 species
GACGAACGCUGGCGGCGUGCUUAACACAUGCAAGUCGAACGGAGCACCCUUGAUUGAGGUUUCGGCCAAAUGAUAGGAAUGCUUAGUGGCGGACUGGUGAGUAACGCGUGAGGAACCUGCCUUUCAGAGGGGGACAACAGUUGGAAACGACUGCUAAUACCGCAUGACGCAUUUUGAUCGCAUGGUCGAAAUGCCAAAGAUUUAUCGCUGAAAGAUGGCCUCGCGUCUGAUUAGCUAGUUGGUGAGGUAACGGCCCACCAAGGCGACGAUCAGUAGCCGGACUGAGAGGUUGACCGGCCACAUUGGGACUGAGAUACGGCCCAGACUCCUACGGGAGGCAGCAGUGGGGGAAUAUUGGGCAAUGGGCGCAAGCCUGACCCAGCAACGCCGCGUGAAGGAAGAAGGCUUUCGGGUUGGUAAAACUUCUUUUAAGUUGGGAAGAGUAGAAGACGGUACCACUUGAAUAAGACCACGGCUAACUACGUGCCAGCAGCCGC